GGGCUAGUAGCCUAGUCUGGAUAGGGCACCUGCCUUCUAAGCAGGGGAUCGGGAGUUCAAAUCUUCCCUAGCCCA
rnacentral:tRNA from 1 species